UGCACAUUCUUCUUCUCUGCCAAAAACCCUAGAGAGAGAGAGGGGGAUACAGAUUUAGGGAAUCAGCGAGCGAAGAGGUGUUUUCAUCCAUAUAUACACACACUCAGUUUACUUGUUUGUGCAUAUAUACACAGGGAGAAUCAAUUCAAUUUCCGUUCAUACAUACAGAAUACAUAGAGAGAGUGACAGAUGGCAUGGCGUUCAGCGGGAUCUUUAUCGAGGUCGUUACUAUCAACAGCAAGAGCCUCGUCAGUACGAUCUUCACCAGCACUUCCUCGCCUUCGUCCGUCACAGCUACCUACAUCUCCCCCUCGGACUAGUCGUUUUUCCUUCGCUAAUCCAAGGACAUUGGGAGAACUCGGAUGCACACAGUCACUACUACCUCCUGUUGCAGCAUGUCAUCUCUCACCACAUCUGUCACUUAAUGCUCGAGCUUUCUGCGGGCUUUCUCAGGGUAACAUUUUGCAGAACUUGUCAAAUUUCUAAGUGGAAAUGGAAAAGAUGGCUGAUACAGGGCAUCAAAUGCUUCAGCAGCGGAUAAAGGACGCCACCAAUUUUCAGUACAUGAUUGGAGAUUGCUUUACCGGCACAACAUUGCUAAUGAUACGAGGGGUUUGGUAGAUUAAUGUUGGGAUCUUCUGAAAAUGACAUUGAUCCAUCGGAACCAGUAAGACAAUACUAAGAGUUUUGUGUUUAGUUAUGUGGGGAUCAAGUUUAGAAGCAUAUCAAGAAUUCAUUUAUAAACCUCUAAAUUUUAAAAGGACGAAAAAGAUUUUGAAAAUUAAGCUGAUAUAACUAAUUCAACGACUAACCUGCCUU